GCUCUCAUAGCUCAGAUGGUAGAGCGCAUCCUUGGUAAGGAUGAGGUCUCCAGUUCAAUUCUGGAUGAGAGCUCCA
rnacentral:tRNA from 1 species